UACGAAGGGGGCUAGCGUUGCUCGGAAUUACUGGGCGUAAAGCGCACGUAGGCGGAUUGUUAAGUCGGGGGUGAAAUCCUGGAGCUCAACUCCAGAACUGCCUUCGAUACUGGCGAUCUCGAGUUCGGGAGAGGUGAGUGGAACUGCGAGUGUAGAGGUGAAAUUCGUAGAUAUUCGCAAGAACACCAGUGGCGAAGGCGACUUACUGGACACGUAUUGACGCUGAGGUGCGAAAGCGUGGGGAGCAAACAGG
rnacentral:rRNA from 1 species